UAUAAAUCUGCAAGGGAAAUAGAUGUGCUGAACAAAGAAGCCACACCAUUGCUCUGUCUCAGAGGUUAUACAUCCCCAACUCAUUCAACCCUUCCUCAAAAGACGUGGUCUCCAGGCCCCUCACCACCUUUGUCACUCUCCUCUGGACACAUUCCAGUUUGCUGAGAUCCUUUUUAAACUGCAGUACCCAGAAAUGGACACUGAUUUUACCAGAUGACUAGCUGAAAUCAAGAUAUACUAUGUCCAUAGCAUUCCUCCGAUCUACCAAGUAACUAAUUCCAUCAAAAAGAGA